GGACUGGAAAGGAGAGGAACAAAGCUGACAGGUAUGCGCUGGAUUGCCAGGAGAAGGCGUAUUGGCUGGUGCACCGAAGCCCUCCUGGAAUGAACAAUGUGUUAGACUACGGCCUGGACCGCGUGACCAAUCCAAACGAAGUUAAGGUAAACCAGCUCUCUUUCUAUUGUGUGUGUGCACACACUGGCCAUUGUGGAGCAGUAAGAAGAAACCGCACACAAGCCGCCCUCCCCUCUCCAGCAGCACAGUGCCCACCACAUCCCCUGUGCAGGAAGGGACUGGGGC
rnacentral:lncRNA from 1 species